UUUUUAGCUCACCUGGCCCGAAGGGCCAAGUGAGCUUUUCUCAUCACUUGGCGUCCGGCGUCGUCCGUCGUCGGCGUUAACUUUUUACAUUUUGAACUUCUUCUAGAGAACCACUGUAUGGAAUGAAACCAAACAUGGCAUGAAUGUUCCUUAUGAGGUGCUGACCAAGUGUUGUUACUUUGUAGCCGAUCCAUCAUCCAAGAUGGCCGCCAGCGGGGGACUUAGUUUAACAUAGGACCCUAUGGGAAAUGCAUACAAAUGACUUCUUUUAGAGAACCACUGAAUGGAAUGAAACCAAACAUGGCAUGAAUGUUCCUUAUGAGGUGCUGACCAAGUGUUGUUACUUUGUAGCCGAUCCAUCAUCCAAGAUGGCCGCCAGCGGGGGACUUAGUUUAACAUAGGACCCUAUGGGAAAUGCAUACAAAUGACUUCUUUUAGAGAACCACUGAAUGGAAUGAAACCAAACAUGGCAUGAAUGUUCCUUAUGAGGUGCUGACCAAGUGUUGUUACUUUGUAGCCGAUCCAUCAUCCAAGAUGGCCGCCAGCGGGGGACUUAGUUUAACAUAGGACCCUAUGGGAAAUGCAUACAAAUGACUUCUUUUAGAGAACCACUGAAUGGAAUUGAACCAAACAUGGCAUGAAUGUUCCUUAUGAGGUGCUGACCAAGUGUUGUUACUUUGCAGUCGGUCCAUCAUCCAAGAUGGCCGACAGCAGGGGACUUAGUUUAACAAAGGACCUAUGGGAAAUACAUACAAAUGUCUUCUUUUAGCGAACCACUGAAUGGAAUGAAACCAAACAUGGCAUGAAUGUUCCUUAUGAGGUACUGACCAAGUGUUGUUACUUUGCAGUCGGUCCAUCAUCCAAGAUGGCCGACAGCAGGGGACUUAGUUUAACAAAGGACCUAUGGGAAAUACAUACAAAUGUCAUCUUUUAGAGAACCACUGAAUGGAAUGAAACCAAACAUGGCAUGAAUCUUCCUUAUGAGAUGCUGACCAAGUGUUGUUACUUUGUAGCCGAUCCAUCAUCCAAGAUGGCCGACAGCGGGGGACUUAGUUUAACAUAGGACCCUAUGGGAAAUGCAUACAAUUGUCUUCUUUUAGAGAACCACUGAAUGGAAUUGAACCAAACAUGGCAUGAAUGUUCCUUAUGAGGUGCUGACCAAGUGUUGUUACUUUGUAGCCGAUCCAUCAUCCAAGAUGGCCGCUAGGGGGGGGGGGGGGGGGGGCUUAGUUUAACAUAGGACCCUAUGGGAAAUACAUACAAAUGUCUUCUUUUAGAGUACCACUGAAUGGAAUGAAACCAAACAUGGCAUGAAUGUUCCUUAUGAAGUGCUGACCAAGUGUUGUUACUUUGUUGCCGAUUUACUGUUCAAGAUGGCCACCAGGAUAUUUUAUUAAAUAACGGGACCAAUAUUAAUCAAAAUUUGGCCUCAAUCAUUAUUUGGGUAUCUGUUAUGAUUUUUAUCUAUCUUUACAUGAUUUCUAAAACCAAAGUAGAGUCAGGUGAGCGACACAGGCUCUUGAGAGCCUCUAGU